rnacentral:rRNA from 1 species
CCUACGGGAGGCAGCAGUGGGGAAUAUUGCACAAUGGGGGAAACCCUGAUGCAGCGACGCCGCGUGAGUGAAGAAGUAAUUCGUUAUGUAAAGCUCUAUCAGCAGGGAAGAAAAUGACGGUACCUGAGUAAGAAGCCCCGGCUAACUACGUGCCAGCAGCCGCGGUAAUACGGAGGGGGCAAGCGUUAUCCGGAUUUACUGGGUGGAAAGGGAGCGUAGACGGCAAUGCAAGUCUGGAGUGAAAGGCGGGGGCUCAACCCCCGGACUGCUCUUGAAACUGUACGGCUGGAGUGCAGGAGAGGUAAGUGGAAUUCCUAGUGUAGCGGUGAAAUGCGUAGAUAUUAGGAGGAACACCAGUGGCGAAGGCGGCUUACUGGACUGUAACUGACGUUGAGGCUCGAAAGCGUGGGGAGCAAACAGGAUUAGAUACCCCUGUAGUC